GAGACACCCUUCUGGGGCAAGACUUGCUUCAAUGGGGCUUUGGUGCUUACUGAGUCUGCCCCCUGAGUGUGUCCUU
rnacentral:pre_miRNA from 1 species